UACGUAGGGGGCAAGCGUUUGUCCGGAAUCAUUGGGCGUAAAGCGCGCGUAGGCGGCCCGGUAAGUCCGCUGUAAAAGUCCAGGGCUCAACCCUGGAAAGCCGGUGGAUACUGUCGGGCUAGAGUCCGGAAGAGGAGAGUGGAAUUCCUGGUGUAGCGGUGAAAUGCGCAGAUAUCAGGAAGAACACCCGUGGCGAAGGCGGCUCUCUGGGACGGUACUGACGCUGAGACGCAAAAGCGUGGGGAGCGAACAGG
rnacentral:rRNA from 1 species